AUCUACAGCCAUGCCAUCCUGAACACGCUUGAACUUGUCUGACCUUGGAAGCUAAGUAGGGUCGGGGCUGGUUAGUACUUGGAUGGGAGAAUGGGGAAAAUUGCCGGGCUUUGCUA
rnacentral:rRNA from 1 species